AUUCAUCUGACGAGUCCCAACUAGAAUGAAACGUGUUUCAUGGAU
rnacentral:hammerhead_ribozyme from 1 species